GGGUGGCUAACGGAUUAAUACAUUUAAAAGCCGAUAACUGUUAAGCCAAACCGUUAAGAGUAAAAGCCGCCCAAUCCGUCCGAUGAACACCCCUAUAGCCAGUACAUGAGGGUUGUUUGUGGAUUUAUCUUGUAAAAGUAGUUUUUCCUUAUAGUCAAAUAUUUAGGUUAUUAAUGCUGAAUAUGAAGUGUUUUAGCUAUGUUUUUCCUUCCUUCUUUUAUCUGAUGACUUUUUCUUUACUUAAAGACGCUUAUUUUUCUUUCUUUGACUGUUUGGCCAUGAGCUGCAGCCUACAGAUUUGGCCACUGGUUGGUUAAAUAAUCAGGUUCAAAAGUUGGAAAGUGGGACUCAUACUAUUUUUUAACAAAGAGAAGACCAAGCUCUAACGGACAAACCAUGUCCAAAAGAGGCAGAAAUUAUUUAGGACAUUAGUUAUACAAACUUGUAAUAGUUUAGCCUAAAUAUAGUUAGUUUAUGUAACAAGAUGAGUUGUUACAGUGGCUUACUAGUAUGAUUGAUAUGUGUUUGAAUGAUUUGUGUAUGUUCUGUAAAAUAAAAAUUUUAGUUGCUUAAGGAAGUUGGGAAUUUAAAUGUGGUUGUAGUUUUUUAUGGUUAGUGUUGAUUACUGAUAAUUAGAUAUAUUGGUAGACAAAGUCAGAUUUUUGGAUCUUUACUGGUUUGUUAAGACAUUUUGGUUUCGUCUUUGUGAUGCUGCAUAUAUUUGGGCUCGAUGUUGAGCCCGUUCAUAAAUUCCACUGUAUCACAUGGGCAGGCCGGCUGAUUGAAGAGAUUGGGGACACUUUGGGCCUUAUUUUGGCCCAUAUGCAUUUCACAUUUUUAUACUUAAAUGUCAUGAUGUUUUUUUUGGAUUGAAUUGAAUUGGCUAAUAUAUAUGUUUCAUGCACUGAUUCAGUAUGUUAACUUUUUCCAGAAUUUAGUGUCAUAUGUUAUUGUUGCAGCAAUAUGAGUAGCAAAUGUGUAAAAAGGGAUUUAAGAUAUCCAGGGCUGUCAUUCUGGUCCUGUUAUCAGCCCAAAUGAUAUAGUGUGGCAAGAUCAGACCUGAUGGAG
rnacentral:lncRNA from 1 species